GGGCUAUUAGCUAAGUGGUAAAGCAGUCGCCUCUUAAGCGAAAGAUGCGUAGGUUCGAUCCCUACAUAGCCUA
rnacentral:tRNA from 4 species